rnacentral:rRNA from 1 species
CGAACGAAGCAGAAGGAUGCUUGCAUCCUUUUGACUGAGUGGCGGACGGGUGAGUAACGUGUGGAGAACCUACCUUACACAGGGGGAUAACGGCUGGAAACGGCUGCUAAUACCGCAUAAGCAUACAGCUUCGCAUGAAGCCGUGUGAAAAGAAGUAUCGGUGUAAGAUGGCUCCGCAUCUGAUUAGCUAGUUGGUGAGGUAAUGGCUCACCAAGGCAACGAUCAGUAGCCGGCCUGAGAGGGCGACCGGCCACAUUGGGACUGAGACACGGCCCAGACUCCUACGGGAGGCAGCAGUGGGGAAUCUUGCACAAUGGGGGAAACCCUGAUGCAGCAACGCCGCGUGAGCGAAGAAGUAUUUCGGUAUGUAAAGCUCUAUCAGCAGGGAAUAGAAAAGAAGGUACCUGACUAAGAAGCCCCGGCUAACUACGUGCCAGCAGCCGCGGUAAUACGUAGGGGGCAAGCGUUAUCCGGAUUUACUGGGUGUAAAGGGAGCGUAGACGGCUGUUUAAGUCAGAAGUGAAAGCCCAUUGCUUAACGAUGGGACUGCUUUUGAAACUAAGGAGCUGGAGUGCAGGAGAGGUGAGUGGAAUUCCUAGUGUAGCGGUGAAAUGCGUAGAGA